AGAGUUUGAUCCUGGCUCAGUCAAGUCGUAACAAGGUAGCCGUAUAGAACCUUACCAACCCUUGACAUACUCGUCGUCGCACCAGAGAUGGUGCUUUCAGCUAGGCUGGACGAGAUACAGGUGCUGCAUGGCUGUCGUCAGCUCGUGUCGUGAGAUGUUCGGUUAAGUCCGGCAACGAGCGCAACCCACAUCCCUAGUUGCCAGCAGGUUAAGCUGGGCACUCUAUGGAAACUGCCCGUGAUAAGCGGGAGGAAGGUGUGGAUGACGUCAAGUCCUCAUGGCCCUUACGGGUUGGGCUACACACGUGCUACAAUGGCAGUGACAAUGGGUUAAUCCCAAAAAACUGUCUCAGUUCGGAUUGGGGUCUGCAACUCGACCCCAUGAAGUCGGAAUCGCUAGUAAUCGCGUAACAGCAUGACGCGGUGAAUACGUUCCCGGGCCUUGUACACACCGCCCGUCACACCAUGGGAGUUGGUUCUACCCGACGACGCUGCGCUAACCCUUCGGGGAGGCAGGCGGCCACGGUAGGAUCAGCGACUGGGGUGAAGUCGUAACAAGGUAGCCGUAAAUCACUAGUGAAUUCGCGGCCGCCUGCAGGUCGACCAUAUGGGAGAGCUCCCAACGCGUUGGAUGCAUAGCUUGAGUAUUCUAUAGUGUCACCUAAAUAGCUUGGCGUAAUCAUGGUCAUAGCUGUUUCCUGUGUGAAAUGUUAUUCCCCGCUCAA
rnacentral:rRNA from 1 species